AAGCACUCCCCUUUGCAGAGAGUGAAAAAAAUUCAUGUCCACAUCCUUUCAAUCCUUCUUAUCUCCUUAAUACUCUCUCAACGAGAAUUAGUGACUAAGAAACUAUCUGUGUGAUUUCUCGUUUUUCUUUUUUUCUUUGUUGCUUAAUUUUCAAGGUAAUUUUUAUUUUAGAGAGAGAGAGAGAGUGGUGAUGGAGUUUGAGGAUCAGGAAGAGCAUGAGGAGGAAGAGGAGAUAGGGUUGCCGGCGAGUUAUGACUCGUUGGGUAAUUCUUCCCGAGUCAAAAUGACGAGCUCUGCAGGUGAACAAGCAGCGACUGGAGCGGGACCCGUUCAGUCGACGAAGCCAAGGUAUAGAGAGUGUUUGAAGAACCACGCAGUGGGAAUCGGUGGACAAGCGGUGGAUGGGUGUGGUGAGUUCUUGGCUGCUGGAGCUGAAGGAACACUCGACGCGCUGAAAUGUGCCGCUUGUAACUGCCACAGAAACUUCCACCGCAAAGAAUCCAACGACUCAACAGCACCGGUUGGAGGAGGAGAACUGUUCUUCCACGGCCACCCUCACCCACAUCACCUCCAUCAUCAGGUGCCGCAAUUCGCUCCGUAUUACAGGACCCCAGCAGGAUACCUCCAUGUGGUUCCACCACAACAACGGCCUUUAGCAUUGCCAUCCACUUCGGGAGGUCAGAGUAGGGAAGAUCAAGAAGAUGUGUCGAAUCCAAGUGGUGGUGGAUUUGGAGGUGGCAGUGGGGGAGGGUCGUCGAGGAAGAGGUUUAGAACGAAGUUCACGCAGGAGCAAAAGGAUAGAAUGCUGGCACUGGCAGAGAGGUUGGGUUGGAGGAUUCAGAAACAUGAUGAAGCUGCGGUGCUGGAGUUCUGCAAUGAGACUGGAGUGAAGAGGCAUGUGCUUAAGGUUUGGAUGCAUAACAACAAGCACACUCUGGGUAAGAAACCCUAGGAAAUGGAAACCAAUCUUCUGGUAGGAAUCAAGGAUUUUAAAAGGAAGAAGUAGGGGGAAAUUUUCUCAAGUUGACAGCUUGGUGAAAAUUCUGGUACUAUCAUCUCAGGAUUUUUAGGUAGUUUUUGUAGGGUUUCUUUUGUUUCUGUUAGUAUUGUUUUCGCUUUUUAUUUUUAUCUUCUUGGAGGGGGGGUGCCGGUGCUGGUGGUGGUUUAUAUGUGGGCAGUAAUGGGGUUGGGAUGGUGAAUAUUAUGUCAGGUGGUUUUAGACUCUAAAGAAGAUUAAUGUUGAUGGCUAUUUUCAGUUUUUCAUUUCAGUGCUGCAUUUUGAAUUCUUGCUCUUGUGAGUUUCAGUGGUUAUUUUGCUUUGUUUUCUGCACCGGAAGCUGAGUGAGAAACUGGUUACUACUACAACAUACAUACAUGGAAAUUGGUAAGUGAGCUUUUUUCAAGGUUGCUCAAAGUCUUAGUCUACUGAUCAGCUGGUACGUUCUUCAUAUUGAUCCAAGAGAAAGAGAAAGGACAUGCUUGAAGCUGCGGCUAGGUCUGGUUCGUCACUGGAUUCUGAUUUUGCAUUUGCUUAAAUAUCAUGUUUGAGCCAUCUAAUUGAUCAAGUUUCCCUGAUAAAAACAUGCGGAAGCUGCAUUUUAAUACCCAUUUGCUUAUCUUUCAACUUCUGCGCCUUGUUUGCCAUUUAUUUCUUGUGCCUUGGUUUACUUCUUGCUCUGGUCUAGUUAGAUACAUAUCCUUAAGCUAAACACACAAUGAACAUUGUUGAUAAAAGAGAAGGGUUUCUGUAGAAAAUUUAUGGGUAAUAUUGAAUGAGCGAGUGCACUUUUAAAGUUUUAUACUUUCCUUGAAACAAAAUCCUUCCUCCUACAUUCAAUAUGGAUUCUUUUGGGCUUCUUGCUCCUGGGACUUUUCCUUCUCAUUUACAUUUUGCUUGCUUUAAUUCCUUCUUCUCCUUUUUGUUUCAUCUCCUUGUCUUUUGAAGGUGCUUGUACAACUUAAUGUUCAACCCAUGGGGCCUCCCACUGGUUUGUUUCUGCUGCCAAGUCUUUUGCUCUCUUUUCGCUGCAUUUACUUCUGCGGUCAUGAGUUCAGAGAUGCCGAUGAUAAUUUCAAUUUCAUUUUCCUUAAUUUUCUUUCUAUUUUCUUUCCUCCAAGAAAUAAAAUUAAUAUGCUGAUGCUGAAUCAUAAUACAUAUAUAUAUAUUUUAUAAACUGUGUAAUCAUAUGAUCGAUUUCAGAUACAGAAGGUAAACCAAUAUGUUUGAUCAUUGAUGAGUCACCUUGGGAAGGAAAGAGCUG
rnacentral:misc_RNA from 1 species